rnacentral:rRNA from 1 species
UACGUAGGGUGCGAGCGUUAAUCGGAAUUACUGGGCGUAAAGCGUGUGCAGGCGGUUUUGUAAGUCAGAUGUGAAAUCCCCGGGCUUAACCUGGGAAUGGCAUUUGGGACUGCAAGGCUGGAGUGUGGCAGAGGAGACUGGAAUUCCUGGUGUAGCGGUGAAAUGCGCAGAUAUCAGGAGGAACACCGGUGGCGAAGGCGGAUCUCUGGGCCUUACCUGACGCUGAGGCGCGAAAGCUAGGGGAGCGAACAGG